AGCUACAGGCUUAACACAUGCAAGUCGAGGGUUAGCAUGGUCUUAGCUUGCUAAGGCCGAUGGCGACCGGCGCACGGGUGAGUAACACGUAUCCAACCUGCCGUCUACUCUUGGACAGCCUUCUGAAAGGAAGAUUAAUACAAGAUGGCAUCAUGAGUCCGCAUGUUCACAUGAUUAAAGGUAUUCCGGUAGACGAUGGGGAUGCGUUCCAUUAGAUAGUAGGCGGGGUAACGGCCCACCUAGUCUUCGAUGGAUAGGGGUUCUGAGAGGAAGGUCCCCCACAUUGGAACUGAGACACGGUCCAAACUCCUACGGGAGGCAGCAGUGAGGAAUAUUGGUCAAUGGGCGAGAGCCUGAACCAGCCAAGUAGCGUGAAGGAUGACUGCCCUAUGGGUUGUAAACUUCUUUUAUAAAGGAAUAAAGUCGGGUAUGGAUACCCGUUUGCAUGUACUUUAUGAAUAAGGAUCGGCUAACUCCGUGCCAGCAGCCGCGGUAAUACGGAGGAUCCGAGCGUUAUCCGGAUUUAUUGGGUUUAAAGGGAGCGUAGAUGGAUGUUUAAGUCAGUUGUGAAAGUUUGCGGCUCAACCGUAAAAUUGCAGUUGAUACUGGAUAUCUUGAGUGCUGUUGAGGCAGGCGGAAUUCGUGGUGUAGCGGUGAAAUGCUUAGAUAUCACGAAGAACUCCGAUUGCGAAGGCAGCCUGCUAAGCUGCAACUGACAUUGAGGCUCGAAAGUGUGGGUAUCAAACAGGAUUAGAUACCCUGGUAGUCCACACGGUAAACGAUGAAUACUCGCUGUUUGCGAUAUACUGCAAGCGGCCAAGCGAAAGCGUUAAGUAUUCCACCUGGGGAGUACGCCGGCAACGGUGAAACUCAAAGGAAUUGACGGGGGCCCGCACAAGCGGAGGAACAUGUGGUUUAAUUCGAUGAUACGCGAGGAACCUUACCCGGGCUUAAAUUGCAGAUGAAUUACGGUGAAAGCCGUAAGCCGCAAGGCAUCUGUGAAGGUGCUGCAUGGUUGUCGUCAGCUCGUGCCGUGAGGUGUCGGCUUAAGUGCCAUAACGAGCGCAACCCUUGUUGUCAGUUACUAACAGGUUCCGCUGAGGACUCUGACAAGACUGCCAUCGUAAGAUGUGAGGAAGGUGGGGAUGACGUCAAAUCAGCACGGCCCUUACGUCCGGGGCUACACACGUGUUACAAUGGGGGGUACAGAGGGCCGCUACCACGCGAGUGGAUGCCAAUCCCCAAAACCUCUCUCAGUUCGGACUGGAGUCUGCAACCCGACUCCACGAAGCUGGAUUCGCUAGUAAUCGCGCAUCAGCCACGGCGCGGUGAAUACGUUCCCGGGCCUUGUACACACCGCCCGUCAAGCCAUGGGAGCCGGGGGUACCUGAAGUGCGUAACCGCGAGGAGCGCCCUAGGGUAAAACUGGUGAAUG
rnacentral:rRNA from 1 species